ACUCCUACGGGAGGCAGCAGUGGGGAAUUUUGGACAAUGGGCGAAAGCCUGAUCCAGCAAUGCCGCGUGAGUGAAGAAGGCCUUCGGGUUGUAAAGCUCUUUUGUCAGGGAAGAAACGGUGAAAGCUAAUAUCUUUUGCUAAUGACGGUACCUGAAGAAUAAGCACCGGCUAACUACGUGCCAGCAGCCGCGGUAAUACGUAGGGUGCAAGCGUUAAUCGGAAUUACUGGGCGUAAAGCGUGCGCAGGCGGUUUUGUAAGUCUGAUGUGAAAUCCCCGGGCUCAACCUGGGAAUUGCAUUGGAGACUGCAAGGCUAGAAUCUGGCAGAGGGGGGUAGAAUUCCACGUGUAGCAGUGAAAUGCGUAGAUAUGUGGAGGAACACCGAUGGCGAAGGCAGCCCCCUGGGUCAAGAUUGACGCUCAUGCACGAAAGCGUGGGGAGCAAACAGGAUUAGAAACCCUAGUAGUCCC
rnacentral:rRNA from 1 species